UGAUUUCUCUCUAGUACAACAUGAAGUUCUGAAGUAAACACCAGUGCCUGCAGAAAAAAAUGUACACACACUUGCCUAAGGGACCUUGAACAAGACUGGCAAUAUCAGUGGGAGUGGAGUGAAGGUGUGGGAAUACUGGGUGCUGGAAAAUGUCUAAAUCAGCCUUUACCCCUUCCUGCAACACCAUUUUGCUCACAGCCGCAAUGGUGCCUUUCCUCCCUUCACUGCUUCUUUGUGACGGUUGUGUGACCCCUCUCAGAUGAUUAAGGUUCAACCAUACUGGAGUUGGAACCACUCAGAAGUGCAGCCAAGUAUAGGAGUGAUGGAGAGUGGGGCCCACACACUGCUGGAGCCAAAUGUGGAUUGUUGGCAUCAAAGCAAUGCCCUGCACUUAACUGCUAUCAAUUUACUGUUCUCCCUCUCUGAAUACAUUGACAGCUUACUGGGCUACACCUCUGUGUCCAUUCAUUUUCCCACACUAGCUCUCUUAAAUGAUCAUUUUUCAUGUGUGAAACCAGAGAACGAGGCUGGCUAUGUUAUUGCAGAGACCAUUGCAGCCGAUCUUCAAUCACCACCCAUUCUUGCACACUUCAACAAGAGUGUUAUGGGGUGACAAUUAGAGGCAAGAACCCUUGGCUAUUUUCCCUUUCCA